rnacentral:rRNA from 1 species
AUUGAACGCUGGCGGCAUGCUUUACACAUGCAAGUCGAACGGCAGCACGGGUGCUUGCACCUGGUGGCGAGUGGCGGACGGGUGAGUAAUACAUCGGAACGUGUCCAGAAGAGGGGGAUAACGCAUCGAAAGAUGUGCUAAUACCGCAUAUGCUCUGAGGAGGAAAGUGGGGGAUCGAAAGACCUUACGCUUUUGGAGCGGCCGAUGUCUGAUUAGCUAGUUGGUGGGGUAAGGGCCUACCAAGGCGACGAUCAGUAGCGGGUCUGAGAGGAUGAUCCGCCACACUGGGACUGAGACACGGCCCAGACUCCUACGGGAGGCAGCAGUGGGGAAUUUUGGACAAUGGGCGGAAGCCUGAUCCAGCCAUGCCGCGUGAGUGAAGAAGGCCUCGGUUGUAA